rnacentral:misc_RNA from 1 species
GAUGAAGAACGUAGCGAAGUGCGAUAAGUAAUGUGAAUUGCAGAAUUCCGUGAAUCAUCGAAUCUUUGAACGCAAAUUGCACUUUCUGGUAUUCCGGAGAGUAUGCCUGUUUGAGGGUCAGUGUAAUAAAAAUAAAUCGUGGUUGUUACCACUUUUCGUGGUGACGCUUCGGAAUUGAGUCGUCUUACCUUCGGUUAAGUGACUUAAAAUUUUUUCAUACGAUUUCGAAACGUAUUUAAUGUAUUAUGUAUGUUCACGAAUAUCGAAUGUUUAUUAGGUGCGGUCAUUUUCAUGAAUUCGCGUCUAUAAUUUUUUUUUUUUGACCUCAAAUCAGGUAAGAAUACCCGCUGAACUUAAGCAUAUCAAUAAGCGGAGGA